AUGUCCUCUGCAUCUAAAUACCACAUAGUUCAACCCUUAAAACCAUACAAAGCAUGCAAAAGAAACAUCUACUUACUAUGUAGAUCAGCUAAACCUACACCAGACUACUCGUUUUCGUUGGAGAUGUCCACCAUCUUAGCUCCGGGCUCCAGGUACAUUGGCGGCAGAGGCAACUCCGGCUCCGCGUCGGCCUCCGCCUCCUCCUUCGCAUCCAGUUCGUCGAAAAGCGCAUCCGUCUCCGCAUCCAGUUCUCGUCCUGCAUCCGGAAGCGGCGCUCCGGCAUUGCCAUUGUAUAUGUGGUCUUGUUCUGCCGGGCCAUGA
rnacentral:rRNA from 1 species